rnacentral:tRNA from 1 species
AACUUAAAAGUUUUAAAUGUUGAUUUGUGGGAUCAAAGAUUAUAUGGAUGGGUUAAGUUU